rnacentral:rRNA from 1 species
GCAGACGAGCCGCGUGGAGGAUGAAGGGCUUCGGCUUGUAAACUCCUGUCACCGACGAACAAGGCAUCCGGUUGAACAUUCCGGGUGAUUGAUGGUAGUCGGAGAGGAAGGGGCGGCUAACUCUGUGCCAGCAGCCGCGGUGAUACAGAGGCCCCGAGCGUUGUUCGGAUUUACUGGGCGUAAAGGGUGUGUAGGGGGUCGGGUAAGUUUGACGUGAAAGCCCGCUGCUUAACAGCGGAACGGCGUCGAAUACUGCCCGGCUGGAGGUUCGGAGAUGAGAGCGGAAUUCUCGGUGUAGCGGUGAAAUGCGUAGAUAUCGAGAGGAACGCCGACGGCGAAAGCAGCUCUCAAGACGACACCUGACCCUGAGACACGAAGGCCAGGGGAGCAAACGGGAUUAGAUACCCCGGUAGUCCUGGCAGUAAACGGUGCUCAUUAGACGUGGGCGGAUUCGACCCCGCCCGUGUCGAACCUAACGGAUUAAAUGAGCCGCCUGGGAAGUACGGUCGCAAGAUUAAAACUCAAAGAAAUUGACGGGGGCCCGCACAAGCGGUGGAGUAUGUGGCUUAAUUCGAUGCAACGCGAAGAACCUUACCUGGCCUUGACAUGCUGAGUUCAGGCGUGGAAACACGCUGGCCCGCAAGGGCGAUCUGCACAGGUGCUGCAUGGCUGUCGUCAGCUCGUGUCGUGAGAUGUUUGGGUUAAGUCCCGCAACGAGCGCAACCCUCGUGACUAGUUAAUCCCGGGCAACCGGAUUCUGG